CCUACGGGGGGCAGCAGUGGGGAAUAUUGGACAAUGGGGGGAACCCUGAUCCAGCCAUGCCGCGUGUGUGAAGAAGGCCCUCGGGUGGUAAAGCACUUUCAGUGAGGAAGAACGCCUGGUGGUUAAUACCCAUCAGGAAAGACAUCACUCACAGAAGAAGCACCGGCUAACUCCGUGCCAGCAGCCGCGGUAAUACGGAGGGUGCGAGCGUUAAUCGGAAUUACUGGGCGUAAAGCGCGCGUAGGUGGCUUGAUAAGCCGGUUGUGAAAGCCCCGGGCUCAACCUGGGAACGGCAUCCGGAACUGUCAAGCUAGAGUGCAGGAGAGGAAGGUAGAAUUCCCGGUGUAGCGGUGAAAUGCGUAGAGAUCGGGAGGAAUACCAGUGGCGAAGGCGGCCUUCUGGACUGACACUGACACUGAGGUGUGAAAGCGUGGGUAGCAAACAGGAUUAGAUACCCUGGUAGUC
rnacentral:rRNA from 1 species